GAGGGGUAGUUACUUUCGGGUAAUGAGACCGGCGCACGGGUGCGUAACGCGUAUGCAAUCUACCUUUUACAGGGGAAUAGCCCAGAGAAAUUUGGAUUAAUGCCCCAUAGUAUGUAUGAAUCGCAUGGUUUAUACAUUAAAGUUCCAACGGUAAAAGAUGAGCAUGCGUCCCAUUAGUUAGUUGGUAAGGUAACGGCUUACCAAGACGAUGAUGGGUAGGGGUCCUGAGAGGGAGAUCCCCCACACUGGUACUGAGACACGGACCAGACUCCUACGGGAGGCAGCAGUGAGGAAUAUUGGACAAUGGGCGCAAGCCUGAUCCAGCCAUGCCGCGUGCAGGAAGAAGCAUCUAUGGUGUGUAAACUGCUUUUGUACAGGAAGAAACACUCCCUCGUGAGGGAGCUUGACGGUACUGUAAGAAUAAGGAUCGGCUAACUCCGUGCCAGCAGCCGCGGUAAUACGGAGGAUCCAAGCGUUAUCCGGAAUCAUUGGGUUUAAAGGGUCCGUAGGCGGUUUGAUAAGUCAGUGGUGAAAGCCCAUCGCUCAACGAUGGAACGGCCAUUGAUACUGUCAGACUUGAAUUACUAGGAAGUAACUAGAAUAUGUAGUGUAGCGGUGAAAUGCUUAGAUAUUACAUGGAAUACCAAUUGCGAAGGCAGGUUACUACUAGUGGAUUGACGCUGAUGGACGAAAGCGUGGGGAGCGAACAGGAUUAGAUACCCUGGUAGUCCACGCCGUAAACGAUGGAUACUAGCUGUUGGGCGCAAGUUCAGUGGCUAAGCGA
rnacentral:rRNA from 1 species